UCUCCCAGGUGCUGCAGUAUUUAGAAGAGACUCUCCUUGAUAAUUACAGAGCUCUCCUUAUGUAAUGGGCAGUCAAUAAGAUGACCUCAGAGACAUAUUGGCUUAGUCUGACCCAGCUGAUGCUUCCCAGCCACUGAGUCUCCUUCACAAUGAAGGCUUUGUUUCCUUUUAAACUGAAAAGAACCGAGAAACUGCCUAGUGAGAGCACUUAGCCCGCCCCUUCCAGUUCAUCCAUCAUUAUAAGAAACUCGACUGCCAGGAAUGAGGCAUCUUUUGUGACCUGAACAACCCUCCGGACAGAGCUCCUGUGAUGGACCCCUAAAUUUGUGGCUGAGACCCGAAGCUGUUUGUUUGCUGGUAACAUAACGGCAAGAGACGUCUAUUUUGUUGAACUUUUCCUGUUGAUUAAAUGGGAUGACCCGGCUGGUGUCCCAACUUUUAUCAUUACCUAUCAUUCCUCUACCCGGCCGCACUAGAUAAGGACUGGUCCCUCCAACUGGCUAGAAAGAGCAGAACUAUGAGAAGAACAUUUCUGUUUGAAUAACUUUUUAGAUGAGAAUUAAUGAAGUAAAAUUCACAAGUCCUGUGCCUCUUUGUAUAGUAGAGAAAAAGA